CACUCUAAACAGGAGCAUGAAUGUUUAGUAGAAGGCCCUUUAAACAACUUAAAGUAUGGUAUGGUGGAGUUUUAGAAGCUUAUAAAUGUAUUCAGUAUGUCAUGUUUUAUGUGUAAGGUACUUUAACAUGAUAGUGGCAUUGUUUGCUGACUCAUGCCAUAUUUGCCUUCACAAUUGCAACUGUAAUCUUGCUUGCGUGAUGUGUGCCCUAAUGUUAGUUCCUACAAGUCUACAACUUAUCUUUUCUCAUGUAUCGUAGACAAAGAAAGAAGGAGAAUCGACAAGGAAAAACAGACGGUCGGCGAGAUUCUGACUUAUUUCAACAAUUCCUAUUCAACACUUUUUUAUGUCGAUGAAGGUUCAAAGAUGAUGAUUAGUGGUCGGCCACGGGGUUCGUUCCAGUGAGGUUCCGGUGAUCUAUUCAGCGCGUCAUCAUCACCAUUUAACAUUACCGGAGACGGCGAUCUCUAUGAAGGUGUUUAUUUAGCCGAUUUUGCGACGGUGGUAGUUUAAUCGAGACCCCUUAAGCGACGCAUAAGAGGAAUCGAGGUCAGUUGACGGUGAUUGUGAGGAUGUUUGAAGGGAAUACUUACAGGUGAUGGUGUUGUAAAGGGAUUCGGGAGAAUUCUGGUGAACCAAGUUAAGGUUCUGACUUAUUUUAACAGUUCCUAUUCAACACCUUUUUAUGUUGAUGAAGGUUCAAAGAAAAUGAUUGGCGGUCGGCUAUGGGGUUUGUUCCAGUGAGGCUUUGUGGGUUAGAAGUAGUCAUAACCCAAACCCUAUGGUAUAUGGAUGAACAUUAGAAGUUGUCGAUACUGCUAAGUUAACGAUGAGAACUUGGGUAAUUCUUUGUGACUGGAACCGAUUCCGGUGAAUGCUCCAGUAACUUAUAACAAUGCUCCAGAAGUUAUUCAAGGACAUUUGGAAACGACGCAUAAGGCUUUACGGUCAUAGAGGAAUCGAGGUCAGUUGUCGAUGAUUGUGAGGAUGUUUGAUGGGAAUACUUACAGGUGAUAGUGUUGUAAAGGGAUUCGGGAGAAUUCUGGUGAACCAAUUUAAGGUUCUGACUUAUUUCAGCAGUUCUUAUUCAACACCUUUUUAUGUCGAUGAAGGUCCGAAGAAAAUGAUUGGCGGUCAGCUACGGGGUUCGUUCCUGUGAGGCUUUGUGGGUUAGAAGUAGUCAGAACCCAAACCCUAUGGUAUAUGGAUGCAUUAGAAGUUGUCGAUAUUGCUAAGUUAACGAUGAGAACUUGGGUAAUUCUUGGUGACUAAACCGAUUCCGGUGAAUGCUCAAAUAGCUUAUAGCGAUGCUCCAGAAGUUACUCAAGGACAUUUGGAAACGACAACUAGACACAAGACUGUUGGAUAGAACGUAAUGUCAAUGAAUUGAACUGCACUUAAAAGAAAAAAAGGUGAAAGGGGAGGGAUUGGUGGUUUGUGAAAGGGGUCACCUAAUUUUAGCAGGUACCCACCAAUGAUUACAUGAUUACUGGUCAUAGUCUUAAUUUGGAUUAGAUAGUCAUAUUGAUGAUUUUGGAAUGUGAUAAUUUGGUGGCGCACAUCUGACUGGUAAGAUUUGGGCUUUAUAAUUUUAUAAGAUAAUCCAUCAAGCUUUUUCUUCAAGAUAUAUUACAUAUGUAGUAUAAAUAACAUGUUUAAGUUGGUAGGUUAUUUUAGGUAGUUGUUAUUUUCAUCAACGGACUCGAACAUACCCAUUGAUUAAAGCUUUUUUUAUAGUCUAAAAAAUUGUAAAUAUAAAGAUUUUAAGCAAUUUGCAAGAUAUAUCUUUGUUGCAGUUUCAUUAAAAUAGUUUAGACACUUUCUUAUUCAUUAACUUUGGUUUCUUAAAGUUGCUUGCUCAUAAGUGCAGUUUGUAGUCAUUGUUUAUUAUCAUACUGAUAAAAAAAAUGUUAAUUUCAUAACUCUAAUUCACUACAGAAUGUUAUAGAGAUUCUCUUAGAUAUUUUGUGUAAUUUUGUAUCAAAUUUAUAUUUUAUGGAUUUUUUUUUGUCCAAAGCAUAUGCACUACUUUAUCUAGGCCCUUUUGAUGCGGAAGCACAAAAGAAAAUCGAAGGUGUUACGUAGUAUAUGGCAAGUGUGUGACUAUAUGUUUUCUCUAACUAUCGAAAGUUAUACAUACACACAUAUAUUUAUACAUAUAUAUCACUCAGGCACAUUAGUUUUCACCACGUUAUUAUAUUUUGUUGUGAAAUAUAGUUAAUUGGAUUUUGAGUUGGUGCUUAUUGUUUUACAUAAAUGUAUUAAUGAGAACUGAGCUACUGCACUCGAAAACAACCCCUAAGGGUUUUUCAAAAGUUGUUUGUUAUAGUAGAUAACCAGUACUUUUACACAUCCAAAGUUAAGUUAUUGUAAAUAGUUGCUUUCUCGAUCUAAU